AGUGAACGCUGGCGGCAGGCCUAAUACAUGCAAGUCGAACGGCAGCACAGCAGAGCUUGCUCUGUGGGUGGCGAGUGGCGGACGGGUGAGGAAUACAUGGGAAUCUGCCCAGUCGUGGGGGAUAACGUAGGGAAACUUACGCUAAUACCGCAUGCGCCCUUCGGGGGAAAGCCGGGGACCUUCGGGCCUGGCGCGAUUGGAUGAGCCCAUGUCGGAUUAGCUAGUUGGCGGGGUAAUGGCCCACCAAGGCGACGAUCCGUAGCUGGUCUGAGAGGAUGAUCAGCCACACUGGAACUGAGACACGGUCCAGACUCCUACGGGAGGCAGCAGUAGGGAUAUUGGACAAUGGGCGCAAGCCUGAUCCAGCCAUGCCGCGUGAGUGAAGAAGGCCCUCGGGUUGUAAAGCUCUUUGUCCGGAAAGAAAGCGCCGGGUUAAUACCCUAGUGUCCUGACGGUACCGGAAGAAUAAGCACCGGCUAACUUCGUGCCAGC
rnacentral:rRNA from 1 species